UUGGACCUCUGGCCCUGGGGCUCCUGCUGCUGCCCGUAAAAUCUGAAGACCAUAACCAAGACCAGAACUCCAUUGUGUCAUAUUGCACAAAACUGAGAAAGGGUGGAAGGGCAAAUGGAGGCACAGAGACAUGACUGAGGUCAUAUAGCAGGCCUACAUUUUCUAGAAGUUUACGAAUUAGUGGACAACAAAUGUUCUCUUCUUUUGAAACAUCAACCUUCUUCUAUUGACAGGGAGACAGAAUAUUCAUCAAAAAGUAACAGUGUAGGUAGAAAAAUACCUGGAAUCCACUCCGGCCAUCUGGUACCCCAAAUGAGCAAGUGUUUCAGUUUUUUUACUUGCACCAUCCCUAAAUGGAAGUGCCUUUUUUACAGAUUGUAAGAAACUUUAGAAGAGAAGAAAUAGGAUGCACAGUGAGAUUUGAAAAGUGACUUGGCCUCAAGCGGAACAAUUCAGAUCUGGCACAAAACAUGGAUCUCAGAAUCUCUUAUUGUCUUUGCCUCCUUCCC